ensembl:lncRNA
AAAAGGAGUCCAAAAUGGUGGUGGCUAAAAGACAAGGAAGAGAAACGCCCGUGAAAAUAGAGCAAAGGAAGGUCAAAGAAAGGUCAGAGGACUGGAGUGAGGACUUCAGGAUGGAUUCUCCUGCUAUCUUCUAAAUAAAAUAGAACUGUAACACUGAUUUAUCUAAGAGGUAUGACACAGUUUGUUCAAGACCUGAGAGCUGUGACGUGCCGAGGGCUUUAAUGUCCGUCGCUCCAAAUCGUUGUUGUGAGGAGACAAAGAACCAAGGAGCAUACACUCGCCUGAUAUCUGUGGUGCUGUGACUCGGAUUUAACCUGACUGAAAUAACCUCAGCGCAGAAGAGGCCAAGCACAGCUGGAGCCCAACUCAGCGAAGCUCCCGCGGUAGAAGCAGAACACGAAGAACACCCAGCACUGGGGAAGGCCCAUUGUGCUGCGAACUGGAACAGUGAAAAAAGAACUCAGCAGAAAGCUCAUUCAGCUCAGCCUCAUAUUCCAGAAGACCUCCGGUUAAGAAACCUUGGACCACUGGACAAAACAAACCCCAAGAGGGAUUGUCAGAAGAUCCUCUGACCAAUCCUGAGGAGAUCUGGAACAUUGAUGGAAGCAGCUUUGUCUUAGAUGGAAAAAGAAGAGCUGGAUAUGCAGUAGUCUCCGAUUUUGAGGUCAUAGAGGCUAAGCCUCUGCCACUAGCUACUUCUGCCCAAUUAGCUGAGCUCAUAUCCCUGAUUUGAGCUGUAGAGCUGGGAAAAGGAAAAAGAAUAGCCAUUUACACUGACUCCAAGUAUGCCUUUCUGGUGCUACAUGCACAUGCUGCUAUUUGGAAAGAAAGGGGCCACUUGACCACCCAAGGGUCCCCAAUCAAAUAUGGUGAUCAAAUUCUUAGACUCUUGGAGGCUGUCCAUCUGCCCACGGAGGUUUUAGUCUCCCACUGUAAAGGACAUCAAAAAGGGAGCAUGGAAGUGGCACGAGGAAACCAAGCAGCUGAUCAGACAGCUAAGAAAGCAGCAUUACAGAACCAUGACCUAAUAGGGGUUGCCACCUUAGUUCCACAGACUAAUUUGCCAGAAACUCCUUCAUAUACUGAAGGUGAGAAGCUAAGAGUGAGGGCUUUCAAGAAGAUCAUAUGGGGUGGUUCCAAAAGAAGGGACUCCUUUUUUCUGCCUGGGAAUCUCCAAUGGAAGUUGGUUAACUCCUUACAUGCCACCACUAAUUUAGGGGAAAAAGCCCUCCAAAAAUUACUAGAAAGGUCAUUCAGAGGAACAGGUUUCCAAACAACUAUAAGGCAAGUAGUGUCCUCUUGUCCCACUUGCCAAUUAAACAACCCCCAAUGAGCUCGAAAACCCCAGCUGGCCCAGCCCAUCCAACGAUGUGGGACCUAUCCAGGAGAGGACUGGCAGAUGGACUUCACCCAGAUGCCAGUUUCUCAAGGGUGUAAAUACCUAUUAGUCAUGAUAGAUACAUUCACAGGAUAGAUUGAAGGGUUUCCCACCUGGACUGAGAAGCCUAAGGAGGUGGUAAAAAAAACUACUCCAUGAAAUCCUUCCAAAGUUUGGUCUGCCCAGGUCAUUACAAAGUGACAAUGGAACAUCAUUUACUUCUAAGGUCACCAAGAGGUCUCUAAAGCAUUGGACAUUACUUAUUAUCUCCAUUGUGCCUGGAGCCAUCUUCAGGAAAAGUAGAAAGAGCCAACCAAUUCUUAAAAUCAGCGAUAAAAAAGAUAACCCAGGAGACCUCCAUGGGAUAGAAGGAGGCUUUACCAAUAGGUCUCCUCCGCACCCAUAUUGUCCCUAAGGAACAGGUUGGUCUUAGCCCUUACGAGAUGCUAUAUGGGAGACCUUUUGUUUAUGUCAAUGACUCCUUCCUAGAUCCAGAGGUUCAGACCCUCCAGUCUUAUACCAUGGCCAUUGGGCAAUUCCAACAGGAUAUACACUUGUGGGGUAUGAACCAGGACCCAAAAGAUUCUAAGGAGUCACCACUAUAUGCUCCAGGGACUCAAGGCCUAAUUAAAGUCUGGAAAGAUGGGUCCCCAAAGGCUCAACUCCAGCCCACAUGGAAGGGCCCCUACCCUGUAAUACUUUCUGCCCCCACAGCAGUCAAGGUACCAGGACAUGACUCCUGGAUUCACUACUCAUGAGUCAAGCAGUGGAAGAAAACACAAGAGGACACUCAAUACACCUAUCAACAAGCUACAAUAUGCAGUGCCAGUUCAACAAAGGUAUAAAACUACAGCUGAGCACGGAAAAUAUCACUCACCCUUACAU